GACGAACGCUGGCGGCGUGCUUAACACAUGCAAGUCGAACGGUAAGGCCCUUUCGGGGGUACACGAGUGGCGAACGGGUGAGUAACACGUGGGUGAUCUGCCCUGCACUUCGGGAUAAGCCUGGGAAACUGGGUCUAAUACCGGAUAGGACUACGCGAUGCAUGUCGUGUGGUGGAAAGCUUUUGCGGUGUGGGAUGGGCCCGCGGCCUAUCAGCUUGUUGGUGGGGUGAUGGCCUACCAAGGCGACGACGGGUAGCCGGCCUGAGAGGGUGUCCGGCCACACUGGGACUGAGAUACGGCCCAGACUCCUACGGGAGGCAGCAGUGGGGAAUAUUGCACAAUGGGCGCAAGCCUGAUGCAGCGACGCCGCGUGGGGGAUGACGGCCUUCGGGUUGUAAACCCCUUUCAGCACAGACGAAGCGUAAGUGACGGUAUGUGCAGAAGAAGCACCGGCCAACUACGUG
rnacentral:rRNA from 1 species